UACGUAGGUGGCGAGCGUUAUCCGGAAUGAUUGGGUUUAAAGGGAGCGUAGGUGGAUUGUUAAGUCAGUUGUGAAAGUUUGCGGCUCAACCGUAAAAUUGCAGUUGAAACUGGCAGUCUUGAGUACAGUAGAGGUGGGCGGAAUUCGUGGUGUAGCGGUGAAAUGCUUAGAUAUCACGAAGAACUCCGAUUGCGAAGGCAGCUCACUGGACUGCAACUGACACUGAGGCUCGAAAGCGUGGGGAGCAAACAGG
rnacentral:rRNA from 1 species